UACGGGGGGGGCAAGCGUUGUUCGGAAUUACUGGGCGUAAAGGGCUCGUAGGCGGCCAACUAAGUCAGACGUGAAAUCCCUCGGCUUAACCGGGGAACUGCGUCUGAUACUGGAUGGCUUGAGUUCGGGAGAGGGAUGCGGAAUUCCAGGUGUAGCGGUGAAAUGCGUAGAUAUCUGGAGGAACACCCGUAGCGAAGGCGGCGCUCUGGGCCGGUACUGACGCUGAGGAGCGAAAGCGUGGGGAGCAAACAGG
rnacentral:rRNA from 1 species